UCGAUGAAGAACGCAGCGAAAUGCGAUACGUAGUGUGAAUUGCAGAAUUCAGUGAAUCAUCGAAUCUUUGAACGCACAUUGCGCCCUUUGGUAUUCCAAAGGGCAUGCCUGUUCGAGCGUCAU
rnacentral:rRNA from 1 species